rnacentral:rRNA from 1 species
ACAAGCGGAGGAACAUGUGGUUUAAUUCGAUGAUACGCGAGGAACCUUACCUGGGCUUAAAUGUAGAGUGCAUUUUUUAGAGAUAGAAAUUCCCUUCGGGGCUUUCUGCAAGGUGCUGCAUGGUUGUCGUCAGCUCGUGCCGUGAGGUGUCGGGUUAAGUCCCAUAACGAGCGCAACCCUUAUCGUUAGUUGCCAUCUGGUAAUGCAGGGGACUCUAGCGAAACUGCCACCGUAAGGUGAGAGGAAGGUGGGGACGACGUCAAAUCAGCACGGCCCUUAUGUCCAGGGCUACACACGUGUUACAAUGGUCGGUACAGAGAGCAGCUACCUGGUGACAGGAUGCUAAUCUCGAAAACCGGUCUCAGUUCGGAUCGAAGUCUGCAACUCGACUUCGUGAAGCUGGAUUCGCUAGUAAUCGCGCAUCAGCUAUGGCGCGGUGAAUACGUUCCCGGCCUU